rnacentral:lncRNA from 1 species
GAAUAGAGGUAAAGAUGAAGUUUUUGUUUCAGUGUCCAUGUUGUUCUUGCUUUUGUUUUGUGAAGCCUAAAAAGGGGAAACCUAAAGAGAAACAAGUGAAGGAAAGUAAACCCAAGGAGAAAGAGAGUAAACCUGUUGAGAAAGAAAGCAAGGAUGAAAAGAAGACAGAGUGAAGUGAAGUGCAUUUUGUUGAAAUGUGAUAUGGGUAUGUAUGUUAUAAUAGUAGUAUAAGAUUAAAUAAUUGUUGCAUCAUCUUCGUCUUGGUGUGGUGGGUAGAUUAAAUUUGAAUGUGUUAAUUGGGGUAGGAUCUUGUUUAAAGUAGCUGGGUCCUAGAUGAAGUGUGUUUACUAGAUAGAUAGAUGUCAUGAAUGAUGAUCUCUGUUUGUAUUCCAGGUUAUGAGUUUUCAUGAUUUUGUCAUGUGUUCCAGUCUUCCAGAUUAUGAUCAAGAUCUUGUGUUCAUGAAUCAUGAUUGAUUAGUUUCGGGAAUUUCAUGACUCAUCAGGGUUAUUAUUUAGUUGUAUUUUGCUACUAAUUGGAAUGGCUUUUUGUAAUGCUGCUUUCUUAUUUGUUAAGAGGUGUAUUAUGGGUUGGGUAACGUGCUAAGCGAGAGUUCAUUUAUUAAAAAA